rnacentral:rRNA from 1 species
AUUGAACGCUGGCGGCAUGCUUUACACAUGCAAGUCGAACGGCAGCGCGGGGCAACCUGGCGGCGAGUGGCGAACGGGUGAGUAAUAUAUCGGAACGUACCCAAGAGUGGGGGAUAACGUAGCGAAAGUUACGCUAAUACCGCAUACGAUCUAAGGAUGAAAGCGGGGGACUCGCAAGAGCCUCGCGCGAUUGGAGCGGCCGAUAUCAGAUUAGGUAGUUGGUGGGGGUAAAGGCUCACCAAGCCAACGAUCUGUAGCUGGUCUGAGAGGACGACCAGCCACACUGGGACUGAGACACGGCCCCAGACUCCUACGGGUGGCUGCAGUCGAGAAUCUUCGGCAAUGGGCGAAGCCUGACCGAGCGACGCCGCGUGAGGGAU